rnacentral:lncRNA from 10 species
CUGGACCAGCCCAGAGGGACUGGAGUGACUCUUCCCGCAGUCUCACAGGUCCUUCCCCAGGUCCAAGAGGCUCUUCUGUGUCCUGAUGACAAGUAGCUGCCUAGCCGUGGUGGCACCUCCUAUCACAUGUUAAGGGACCCCUCCCCAGGGCCACACCUGGCAGAAGGUGGCUUAUGAUGUUCGCAGCUUGAAAGUAGUGUAAACCAAAGAUAAAAUUCUAAGCCCACUCCCCCAGCCAUCGGAAUGGACCCCUCCUCUUGGCCAGGGCACUCCAAAGUUAACCUGAAAAACCGGUUCAGGCUGUGAAGAGAAGGUGGAGUGGACAUGCCUCAUUUAUGUCCUCCUCCCUUUUGGAAUUCAGCAAAGCUGACCAGCAUGAACAUUAACACAGACCUUAAGUCUGAUUAGUGGCAUUUACAAUCUAUACUCUCUGAAGCGUGCUACCUGGAGUCUUCCUUUGCAUGAUAAAACUUUGGUCUCCACAACCCCUUAUCAUAACCUAGACACUCCUUUCUAGUGAUAAUAACUCUUUCAACCAAUUGCCAAUAAAAAAAUUUUGAAUCUACCUAUAACCUGGAACCUCCCCGCUCCACCUUCGAGUUGUCCUACCUUUCUGGACAGAAGCAAUGUGGAUCUUGCAUGUAUUUGAUUGAUGUCUCAUGUCUCCCUAAAAUGUAUACAAUUAGGCUGUGCCCAGAUCACCCUGGGCACAUGUUCUCAGGCCCUCCUGAGGUCUCUGUCUCGGGCCAUUGGUCACUCAGAUUCGGCUCAGA